UCAUUAAUGAAAGCUUUUCAGCUCUCUUAUACCCCUUUGUCUACCUUCCAUGUUGCUUUCACCGGACAGGUUAUACUCGUCAGAGUACAACCCUCUGGCUGAUGUUUAGGCAUUGGCUGGCGAGUGCUGGUGGAGAGAAAAAUUAAAAACAUUUAGAAACCUUAGUCUGAACUAAUUUUGAAAAAUAACAAAACUUUCAACAACGGAUCUCUAGGCUCUUGCAUCGAUGAAGAACGCAGUGAAAUGCGAUAAGUAAUGUGAAUUGCAGAAUCUCGUGAAUCAUCGAAUCUUUGAACGCACAUUGCGCCUUAUGGUAAUCCGUAAGGCAUGCCUGUCUGAGCGUCAUAUACUCCACCUCAAGCUACUUCUGCUUGGAUAUCCUUGGAAAAGUACCUCACAAUCCUUGAGGUGCCUUCCAGAAAUCAAUAGGCGGUAUGGUUGUUUCUAGACCAGACGUAAUAUCUCAAAAAUCGUUGUCUAGAUGCAUCGUGCCUGCCUUCAACCCACCCUUCAUUAUACUUGGGUGACCUC
rnacentral:rRNA from 1 species